rnacentral:rRNA from 1 species
CGCGUGAGUGAAGAAGGCCUUCGGGUUGUAAAGCUCUUUUGUCAGGGAAGAAACAGCAGCUCUAACACAGUCUGCGAAUGACGGUACCUGAAGAAUAAGCACCGGCUAACUACGUGCCAGCAGCCGCGGUAAUACGUAGGGUGCAAGCGUUAAUCGGAAUUACUGGGCGUAAAGCGUGCGCAGGCGGUUAUACAAGACAGGCGUGAAAUCCCCGGGCUUAACCUGGGAAUGGCGUCUGUGACUGUAUAGCUAGAGUGUGUCAGAGGGGGGUGGAAUUCCACGUGUAGCAGUGAAAUGCGUAGAUAUGUGGAGGAACACCAAUGGCGAAGGCAGCCCCCUGGGAUAACACUGACGCUCAUGCACGAAAGCGUGGGGAGCAAACAGGAUUAGAUACCCUGGUAGUCCACGCCCUAAACGAUGCUGACUAGUUGUUGGGAAUCUACAUUCUCAGUAACGUAGCUAACGCGUGAAGUCAGCCGCCUGGGGAGUACGGUCGCAAGAUUAAAACUCAAAGGAAUUGACGGGGACCCGCACAAGCGGUGGAUGAUGUGGAUUAAUUCGAUGCAACGCGAAAAGCCUUACCUACCCUUGACAUGUCACUAAAGAAGUAGAGAUACAUUAGGUGCCCGUAAGGGAAC